GUGAGGAAUAUUGGACAAUGGAUGGAAAUCUGAUCCAGCCAUGCCGCGUGCAGGAAGACGGCCCUAUGGGUUGUAAACUGCUUUUAUACGGGAGCAAUAAGGUCUAUGCAUAGAUUGAUGAGAGUACCGUAUGAAUAAGCAUCGGCUAACUCCGUGCCAGCAGCCGCGGUAAUACGGAGGAUGCGAGCGUUAUCCGGAUUUAUUCGGUUUAAAGGGUGCGUAGGCGGCUUUGUAAGUCAGCGGUGAAAUUUUGCAGCUUAACUGUAAAAGCGCCGUUGAUACUGUGAAGCUAGGAUUUGGUUGCUGUGGGCGGAAUGUGUGGUGUAGCGGUGAAAUGCAUAGAGAUCACACAGAAUAUCGAUUGCGAAGGCAGCUCACAAAGCCAAUAUUGACGCUGAGGCACGAAAGUGUGGGGAUCAAACAGGAUUAGAAACCCGGGUAGUCC
rnacentral:rRNA from 1 species